AUUGGUCAUUGAGUUUGACUGCCCGCCUUCUGAUUCAACAUGUCAAAUCGGCCCAACUGAAGGCCGACGACUCCUUCAACUGACGAAGGCACGGAACGCACUGAACAGACUCGAGUCACUGACCUCGCCAGACUGUCUGACGGCUGAUAAUCAGGUUGGUGUGUCAGUGCCUCAAGGGG